rnacentral:tRNA from 1 species
GGCGCGGUGGCAGAGUGGUUAUGCAGCGGAUUGCAAAUCCGUGUAGACCGGUUCGAUUCCGGUCCGUGCCUCCA